GGGGGUGAAACGGUUUCGACGGAGCGAGGACAGCGACGGUGGCGCGCUCGGGGUCCGGUCCCGGUAGCAAACGGAAAAACUAGAAGUGCCAACGACAACGUUGAACACGACCUCGCGCUGGCCGCUUAAUUUACUUUAAGCGCAGAGACUAAAACCAGCAGUUCGCAGGCGCAGCCCAUGGCGCUUACGGGCUAAAACAGUGGGCUAGCAAACCAAGAGCAUAGUCUUCUCUCGGAGCGCGAAAUCGACAGACUCUGUGGCAGUACGGGCUGGUGACGAGAGCCCAUGUCCACAGUACAAAUCCAGUCACUACGCGCGUAGAAGCCUCGACUCGAGGCGUUCCGGACCCGGGUUCGACUCCCGGCACCUCCACAA
rnacentral:tmRNA from 1 species